CGAGUGAAGCGGCAAAAGCUCAAAUUUGAAAUCUGGCACUUUCAGUGUCCGAGUUGUAAUUUGAAGAAGGUAUCUUUGGGUCUGGCUCUUGUCUAUGUUUCUUGGAACAGAACGUCACAGAGGGUGAGAAUCCCGUGCGAUGAGAUGUCCCAGACCUAUGUAAAGUUCCUUCGAAGAGUCGAGUUGUUUGGGAAUGCAGCUCUAAGUGGGUGGUAAAUUCCAUCUAAAGCUAAAUAUUGGCGAGAGACCGAUAGCGAACAAGUACAGUGAUGGAAAGAUGAAAAGAACUUUGAAAAGAGAGUGAAAAAGUACGUGAAAUUGUUGAAAGGGAAGGGCUUGAGAUCAGACUUGGUAUUUUGUAUGUUACUCUCUCGGGGGUGGCCUCUACAGUUUACCGGGCCAGCAUCAGUUUGAGCGGUAGGAUAAGUGCAAAGAAAUGUGGCACUGCUUCGGUAGUGUGUUAUAGUCUUUGUCGAUACUGCCAGCUUAGACUGAGGACUGCGGCUUCGGCCUAGGAUGUUGGCAUAAUGAUCUUAAGUCGCCCGUCUUGAACCACGGACCAA
rnacentral:rRNA from 1 species